rnacentral:misc_RNA from 1 species
GGAAGUAAAAGUCGUAACAAGAUUUCCGUAGGUGAACCCGCGGAAGGAUCAUUAAUGAGUUGUCAUGGGGUUCGAUGCUGGCAGCCAGUUUUUGGAUGCAUGUGCUUGCCCUAACAAUCAUCUUCUUCCAAACACCUGUGCACAUUUUUGAGGGAGUCUUGAGUUGGUUGCCGCUCUUGGGUGAUUUUCUCACAUUCCCUUAAAUCAUUAUACGCUAUUAACAAUGUUGAACGUGCUCUGUGCCGCAAGGCCAUUAAUAUAAUACAACUUUUAACAACGGAUCUCUUGGCUCUC